rnacentral:snRNA from 2 species
GCCUACGGGCAUUUGGUAAAUUCGAAAAGAUACAGAGAAGAUUAGCAUGGCCCCUGCACUAAGGAUGAUACGCUCAAUCAAAGAAAAGCUACCAAUUUUU